GCUCGCUCACACCCGGAUCCUUCGUCGCGGGGAGGGUGUUUCCGCCCGGCCGCGGUGGGCGUGACGCAACGUCCAGCGCGCGCUUUUCAUGCCUUGGUGUUUCCUUUGGCGGAGUUUCUGUUUUCAGAAGAUGUUGGGUUUGUUUUAUUCAGCGGCAGUGGUGCUUCCCCGAAUCUCAGAAUGCCUGUUAAAAGAUCACUGAAAUUGGAUGAUCUGUUAGAAGAAAAUUCAUUUGAUCCUUCAAAAAUCACAAGGAAGAAAGGUUUUAUAACUUAUUCUCCAACAACUGGAACUUGUCAAAUGAGUCUGUUUGCUUCUCCCACAAGCUCUGAAGAACAAAAGCACAGAAAUGGACUAUCAAAUGAAAAGAGAAAAAAAUUGAAUCCCCCCAGUUUAACUGAAAGCAAAGAAUCGACAACAAAAGACAAUGAUGAAUUGAUGAUGUUGCUAUCUAAAGUUGAGAAAUUGUCAGAAGAAAUCAUGGCGAUAAUGCAAAAUUUAAGUAGUAUACGGGCUUUGGAGGGCAGUAGAGAGCUUGAAAAUCUCAUUGGAAUCUCCUGUGCAUCACGUUUCUUAAAAAAAGAAAUGCAGAAAACCAAAGAACUAAUGACAAAAGUAAUUAAACAAAAACUGUUUGAAAGGAGUUCAGGACUUCCUCACAAACAUACUUCAAUUUUAAAAGCACUGAGGUUUGAAGUUUAGACAUGACGACUUUUAGGAGAAACAACAGAAAUUCCCCCUAUGCUUUAACAUUCUGGAUUUAUCUGGAGAUAAAAAAUGGAGCCAUUAAUUUUGAUAGCACAAAUAUACAUUAAUGUACAACUAUAGUCCUCAGCUCUUUAUAAUGAUUCAGCUAUCAUGUAUGCCAUAUGUGAGUCAUAACCUUUCCUAUUAAUAAUGUUAAUGCUCUUGUUUUACACGAUUUGUCUUUGUUUUGGGGUAUGCAUUUCACCUGCUAAAAAUGCAUACUUGAGAUUUGUCUAGGAUUUAAGUAAAAAUAAACAGGUUUAUUACUUUUCAUAGCCUUUUAAAUAACUUCUUUCAUGAUUUAAAUUUUUUAUACUUUAACAGAAGUAUGAUAAUUUUUCUUUCAAAUAAAAUCAGUAGAAAAAAUUUUAAACUAUAGAUUUGGACUCACUUAAUAGCAAUUAGGUGUUUAAAAGGUGUAAAUAACUUGCUAUCAGACAUUACAAAUAUCCAGGUGCUCUGUAUGUGCUGAUGACAACAAAAUUGAAAAGAAAGACUAUAAUAAUUCUGACUGGUUUUCUCUGCAGAAGAUAUUGAUUAUUUGUGUGUGGUGAGAGAUUUGGAAAAUUCAAUUAAAGGAGUUGUGCAAAGGUUUCAUAAAUUUUCCUUCUACAGCGUGUACACAGACAUUGUUGCGUAUUAAAUCAAUGCAGCACUUCACAAUAUAUUUUCUUUGAAACAUAAAAAUAAAUAACAUUUAAACAGUUCUGCUUACUACAGAAACAAAUUUUAUUUUCUGUGAAGCAUUUAGUCAUGUGCUAUCACUGACUCAUACACAUUUGCCAGCUGUAACAAAUUUUAUAGACAUUUUCCCCAGAGACAUAUCUCACAUACUAUGAAUUUUUAAAUGAGCAAAUGGUGAAGAAGGGAUGUCAGCAAUAUAAAAAUUGAUCAGUUAAAAGAUAAAAGCAUAAGUAAAGAGAUUUGUAUGGUAGUCUUAAUAGGUUUUAUUAAAUAAAAAUACUAUAAAAAGACAGUAAUGAAUAGACUGAAGACUGUUCUUGAAGUGGAGAAAAAUUAUUCUGGCACAUUUAGUAGAAAUUGGUUUUGUGUCACCUGACAGGUGAACUUUUUUUCCCAUUUUCAACUCUCAGAGUAGUCCAAAACGCUCCACAAAAAAAGAGUUAGAUAAAUUAUCUAAGUGGUUUACAUAUUUGAAACACAAUAAAGCAAAUGUUUAUAGUAUUAUAUAACUAGUUAUAUAGUUAAAAGCAGGACUUAGUAAUUAUUAUAUAUUAGGUGAUUUUUCCUCCAGCUCAGACCUCAGAUGCAAGGAGCGUAGUUAUUUUUAUUCAUACUAUUCACAGCAAGUGCUUCAGCCCUCUGGAACCUCUCUUUCAGGACUCCAGAACACUUUGCUACCUUUCCCUCUACCUAGAUUGCUUUUUUCUCUGUCUAGCAAACUCCUACUCGUCCUUUAAGGUCAGCCUCAGAUGUCACAACCUCUGUGAAGCUCUCCCCAGCUCUCCUAGAAUCAUGUCAUCUUGACAGCUAUGAAUUCCUUAAAGCCAUUUUAAACUGAGGCAUUAAGAAGAAAUGCACUCACCAUGAGCACCAACUUUUGCAUCUGCCUGAUCAUAUUUAAAGGAACAGAGAAAUAUUUGUAAUUAAUCUGCCCAGUAAAUACCAGCUCGUAGCAGUCAGCAGGUGCAUGUCUAGAUAAAAUUUCUUGCAGCUAAUUUAAACUUUCUACACACACCAGUAGAUAAUCUCAAUGUAAAUAAUACAUUUCUUCUUGACUCUUUAAUGUGAGCCAGCAUGGAGAGGAAGAUCUUGACUUAUAUUCUGUACCACAUACACUUCUGUGGACUUUUAGCAUUCAUGGGUAGACUUAAUAAAGCAUGUAUAAAAGUGGCA